AGAAUGUCGAUAGGCCUACUUUCUAGUAUCGACGGAAUCUUUUUCUGUUAUGUUGAUGGCAGGAGGAAAAAUGUGGAUGUCUUGCUCUCAAAAUCUUGUUUAGUCACUAUACUAAUUAUGAACAUGUUCCCUUCUUAGUGGAAAUUCCUAUAUUCAUAAAUUUUCUACCUGUGGAGGCAGGAUUUGGGGUCCCUACAUGGGAUUGCCAUGAAAAAAUAGGAGUUGCUGCAGUUGCUUUUACUCUCUACGCCCCACUGUUGAGUAAUGAAAUGCUUUUUUUCUAUUUCCACCCCCCUCACCCAACCCAACCCCCUUAGUGGACUUUCCAAUAUUCAUAAAUUUUCUACCUUCAGUGGAGGCAGGAUUUGGGGUCCCUACAUGGGAUUACCAUGAAAAAA
rnacentral:lncRNA from 1 species